rnacentral:tRNA from 1 species
GCCCAGGUGGCGAAAUUGGUAAACGUUGCGGUCUCAGAAGCCGUUGGGAGCAGUCCCUUGAGAGUUCGAGUCUCUCCCUGGGCACAA